rnacentral:rRNA from 1 species
GGGGAAUAUUGGACAAUGGGCGAAAGCCUGAUCCAACCAUGCCGCGUGAGUGAUGAAGGCCCUAGGGUUGUAAAGCUCUUUUGUGCGGGAAGAUAAUGACGGUACCGCAAGAAUAAGCCCCGGCUAACUUCGUGCCAGCAGCCGCGGUAAUACGAAGGGGGCUAGCGUUGCUCGGAAUCACUGGGCGUAAAGGGUGCGUAGGCGGGUUUCUAAGUCAGAGGUGAAAGCCUGGAGCUCAACUCCAGAACUGCCUUUGAUACUGGAAGUCUUGACUUCGGGAGAGGUGAGGGGAACUGCGAGUGUAGAGGUGAAAUUCGUAGAUAAUCGCAAGAACACCAGUGGCGAAGGCGGCUCACUGGCCCGAUACUGACGCUGAGGCACGAAAGCGUGGGGAGCAAAC